CCGUCUCAGUUCGGAUCGCAGGCUGCAACCCGCCUGCGUGAAGUCGGAGUCGCUAGUAAUCGCGGAUCAGCAUGCCGCGGUGAAUACGUUCCCGGGCCUUGUACACACCGCCCGUCACACCAUGAGAGUCGGGAACACCCGAAGUCCGUAGCCUAACCGCAAGGAGGGCGCGGCCGAAGGUGGGUUCGAUAAUUGGGGUGAAGUCGUAACAAGGUACC
rnacentral:rRNA from 1 species